GAUGAACGCUGGCGGCGUGCCUAAUACAUGCAAGUCGAGCGAACGGACGAGAAGCUUGCUUCUCUGAUGUUAGCGGCGGACGGGUGAGUAACACGUGGAUAACCUACCUAUAAGACUGGGAUAACUUCGGGAAACCGGAGCUAAUACCGGAUUAUAUUUUGAACCGCAUGGUUCAAAAGUGAAAGACGGUCUUGCUGUCACUUAUAGAUGGAUCCGCGCUGCAUUAGCUAGUUGGUAAGGUAACGGCUUACCAAGGCAACGAUGCAUAGCCGACCUGAGAGGGAGAACGGCCACACUGGAACUGAGACACGGUCCAGACUCCUAAGGGAGGCAGCAGGAGGGAAACUUCCGAAAUGGGCGAAAGCCUGACGGAGCAACGCCGCGUGAGUGAUGAAGGUCUUCGGAUCGUAAAACACUGUUAUUAGGGAAGAACAUAUGAGUAAGUAACUGUGCACAUCUUGACGGUACCUAAUCAGAAAGCCACGGCUAACUACGUG
rnacentral:rRNA from 1 species